rnacentral:rRNA from 1 species
AUGCACGCUGGCGGCGUGCCUCAUACAUGCAAGUCGAGCGAACAGACGAGGAGCUUGCUCCUCUAACGUUAGCGGCGGACGGGUGAGUAACACGUGGAUAACCUACCUAUAAGACUGGGAUAACUUCGGGAAACCGGUGCUAAUACCGGAUAAUAUAUUGAACCGCAUGGUUCAAUAGUGAAAGACGGUUUUGCUGUCACUUAUAGAUGGAUCCGCGCCGCAUUAGCUAGUUGGUAAGGUAACAGCUCACCAAGGCAACGAUGCGUAGCCGACCUGAGAGGGUGAUCGGCCACACUGGAACUGAGACACGGUCCAGACUCCUAUGGGAGGCAGCAGUAGGGAAUCUUCCGCAAUGGGCGAAAGCCUGACGGAGCAACGCCGCGUGAGUGAUGAAGGUCUUCGGAUCGUAAAACUCUGUUAUUAGGGAAGAACAAAUGUGUAAGUAACUAUGCACGUCUUGACGGUACCUAAUCAGAAAGCCACGGCUAACUACGUG